rnacentral:lncRNA from 1 species
CUAAAUUAUAAGAUAUUUUUGUUUUUUUAGAUAUAUAACUUUAACUAUAUAUAUAUAUUAUAUCUAAAUGUAUAUAGUAAAAUUUUCGUUAGAAAAGCUAAACUAUUAAUUUGAAACAGAGAAAAUAUAUAUGAUUUUUUUUAUGAAUCUUGACUAUAUGGUCCCAUAUGUAUUAUUGGGCUUUGCUCUUGCUGUGGCUACCGGAUGUGUCAGCGGUCCGGUCAGCCCCACGUGAGACCGGGCCUUCUAUAUGCUAGCUAGCAGUAGCAGAUAGGGAUUGCGACUGCAGUGGCACAAAACUAAUCAAAGUUUCCUACAGUUGAUACAACUUAAUCAUAUGAGUCACGAGGCAGCGACAGAUCGACAGGCAGACGGUACGUUGCAGUGAGAUAGCAAGCCAACAAGGCCGGCCCCGUUUUGAUCCGCGAAAAGUUGAGCUUUGGAAGCAUCUGCAAGAGACCGAUCGGAACAGGCUGUCCACAUGUGAAAGAGGACCGGUCGCAAGUUCUGACCAAUCUCUCUGCUUUGUGAAAAAUCUCUCUUUGUGACUUGUUCUUUGUGUGGCUAGCUAUACUUUUGGGCAUUAUUGGGUACGUGGUUCCAUCCAUCGGUGACCUUCUCGGCUCCGGCUAUAUAUUUGAUUAGACCGUUUGCGUGAGCAACGCCAAUAGCUAAGAUAUACUAUGUGCCACAAAGUCGUUGAUGCAUAUCUUGUUUAGAGACCAUGAAUCAUGACGAAGGUGGUGCUCACAUGUUAAUUAGGCCAUGUUUAAAUUGGAGACGAAAAAUUUUUUUAGUGUCACAUUGAAUGUGUCGGAAGGAUGUCAGGAGAGGUUUUUAGAAACUAAUAAAAAAAUAAAUUACAUAGCUCGUUUGGAAACUGCAAGACAAAUCUAUUAAGCAUAAUUAAUCUGUUAUUAGCACAUGUGGGUUACUGUAGCACUUAAGGCUAAUGUAGCACCCGGUUUUAAGAACAAAACCAGAUACACACC